UACAGAGGUCUCAAGCGUUGUUCGGAUUCAUUGGGCGUAAAGGGUGCGUAGGCGGCGCGGUAAGUCGGGUGUGAAAUCUCGGAGCUUCAACUCCGAAACUGCAUUCGAUACUGCCGUGCUUGAGGACUGGAGAGGAGACUGGGAAUUUACGGUGUAGCGGUGAAAUGCGUAGAUAAUCGUAAGGAAGACCAGUGGCGAAGGCGGGUCUCUGGACAGUUCCCUGACGCUGAGGCACGAAGGUCAGGGGAGCAAACGGGA
rnacentral:rRNA from 1 species